rnacentral:rRNA from 1 species
GACGAACGCUGGCGGCGUGCUUAACACAUGCAAGUCGAACGCUGAAGCCUAGCUUGCUGGGUGGAUGAGUGGCGAACGGGUGAGUAACACGUGAGUAACCUGCCCUCUUCUUUGGGAUAACGCCCGGAAACGGGUGCUAAUACUGGAUAUUCACUGGCCUUCGCAUGGGGGUUGGUGGAAAGGUUUUUUCUGGUGGGGGAUGGGCUCGCGGCCUAUCAGCUUGUUGGUGGGGUGAUGGCCUACCAAGGCUUUGACGGGUAGCCGGCCUGAGAGGGUGACCGGUCACAUUGGGACUGAGAUACGGCCCAGACUCCUACGGGAGGCAGCAGUGGGGAAUAUUGCACAAUGGGCGAAAGCCUGAUGCAGCGACGCCGCGUGAGGGAUGGAGGCCUUCGGGUUGUAAACCUCUUUCGCUCAUGGUCAAGCCGCAACUCAAGGUUGUGGUGAGGGUAGUGGGUAAAGAAGC